rnacentral:rRNA from 1 species
AGUGAACGCUGGCGGUAGGCCUAACACAUGCAAGUCGAACGGCAGCACAGUAAGAGCUUGCUCUUACGGGUGGCGAGUGGCGGACGGGUGAGGAAUACAUCGGAAUCUACUUUUUCGUGGGGGAUAACGUAGGGAAACUUACGCUAAUACCGCAUACGACCUACGGGUGAAAGCAGGGGUUCUUCGGACCUUGGGCGAUUGAUGGAGCCGAUGUCGGAUUAGCUAGUUGGCGGGGUAAAGGCCCACCAAGGCGACGAUCCGUAGCUGGUCUGAGAGGAUGAUCAGCCACACUGGAACUGAGACACGGUCCAGACUCCUACGGGAGGCAGCAGUGGGGAAUAUUGGACAAUGGGCGCAAGCCUGAUCCAGCCAUACCGCGUGGGUGAAGAAGGCCUUCGGGUUGUAAAGCCCUUUUGUUGGGAAAGAAAAGCAGCAGGUUAAUACCCCGCUGUUCUGACGGUACCCAAAGAAUAAGCACCGGCUAACUUCGUG